rnacentral:rRNA from 1 species
GACGUAGGGCGCGAGCGUUGUCCGGAUUUAUUGGGCGUAAAGAGCUCGUAGGCGGCUUGUCGCGUCGACUGUGAAAACCCGCGGCUCAACCGCGGCCUGCAGCCGAUACGGGCAGGCUAGAGGCAGGUAGGGGAGAACGGAAUUCCCGGUGUAGCGGUGAAAUGCGCAGAUAUCGGGAGGAACACCGGUGGCGAAGGCGGUUCUCUGGGCCUGUACUGACGCUGAGGCGCGAAAGCUAGGGGAGCAAACGGG